UGAGGGCAAUCUGGCUGCGACAUCUGUCAUCCCAUUGAUCUCCAGGGUUGAUUCAGCUGAUCUGGCUGGCUAGGCAGGUGUCCCCUUUCUCCUUCA
rnacentral:snRNA from 1 species